UACGUAGGUGGCAAGCGUUGUCCGGAUUUACUGGGCGUAAAGAGCGCGCAGGCGGUCGUUCAAGUCGCGUGUGAAAGCCCCCGGCUCAACUGGGGAGGGUCACGCGAUACUGAUCGACUCGAAGGCAGGAGAGGGUAGUGGAAUUCCCGGUGUAGUGGUGAAAUGCGUAGAUAUUGGGAAGAACACCAGUGGCGAAGGCGGUUCUCUGGGACGGUACUGACGCUGAGACGCGAAAGCGUGGGGAGCGAACAGG
rnacentral:rRNA from 1 species